rnacentral:rRNA from 1 species
CCUCAAAUCAGGUAGGACUACCCGCUGAACUUAAGCAUAUCAAUAAGCGGAGGAAAAGAAACUAACAAGGAUUCCCCUAGUAACUGCGAGUGAAGCGGGAAAAGCUCAAAUUUAAAGUCUGGUGGUCCUUGCGGCCAUCCGAGUUGUAAUCUAGAGAAGUGUUAUCUGUGCUGGACCAUGUACAAGUCUCUUGGAAUAGAGCACCAUAGAGGGUGAGAAUCCCGUCUUUGACAUGGACUACCAGUGCAUUGUGAUGCGCUCUCGAAGAGUCGAGUUGUUUGGGAAUGCAGCUCAAAAUGGGUGGUAAAUUCCAUCUAAGCUAAAUAUUGGCGAGAGACCGAUAGCGAACAAGUACCGUGAGGGAAAGAUGAAAAGAACUUUGGAAAGAGAGUUAAACAGUACGUGAAAUUGUUGAAAGGGAAAUGCUUGAAGUCAGUCGCGUUUGCCAGGGAUCAACCUUCUCUUGAGUUGGAGCAUUUCCUGGUUAACGGGUCAGCAUCAAUUUUGACUGUUGGAUAAAGGUUAGGGGAAUGUGGCAUCUUUGGAUGUGUUAUAGCCCCUAACCAGAUACAAUGGUUGGGAUUGAGGAACUCAGCAUGCCGCAAGGCCGGGGUUUUUACCCACGUUACAUGCUUAGGAUGCUGGCAUAAU